rnacentral:misc_RNA from 1 species
AAAUCUCACAAAAUACUAUAUUUUGUGGACUUGGAUUUGCGAUUUUCUAGUAAAAUUUGCUCAUCUAAAAUGAAUUUCAUGAAGCUAAAUAUGCUUUGAUCUUUGCUUAAUAGUUUUGCUUUGCAAAUCUUUUUGCUCUGAUCUCUUUGCAAUAAAAAAGUGAAUUGAUUUUACGAAAUAUUUUUAAAAAUCUCAUU